CACAUUAAAAAGGAAUAGGCCUACUGUUAAAACAGAACAUGAAAAACCUAUUAAAGACAUUAUGAAGUCACAAGCUCUGAAAAAAGCUUCUGAGAGUGACGAAGAGACAGAAAUUCAUUUUGAACUUCGUCCUAAUAAGAAUCAAUCAAACAAAAUAAGGUGGAAGCCUGCCGCUUUGGAUAGUAGUACAAAAACUAGGAGAAUAAAAUGAAAAAAAGUCAACACAAUAAAACCUGUAUAGUUUCCAACUA